AACGAACGCUGGCGGCAUGCCUAACACAUGCAAGUCGAACGCCUGUAGCAAUACAGGAGUGGCAGACGGGUGCAUAACACGUGGGAACCUACCCUAGGGUUCGGAAUAACCGCGGGAAACUGCGGCUAAUACCGGAUACGUCCUUCGGGAGAAAGAUUCAUCGCCCUUGGAGGGGCCCGCGUCGGAUUAGCUAGUUGGUGAGGUAACGGCUCACCAAGGCGACGAUCCGUAGCUGAUCUGAGAGGAUGAUCAGCCACACUGGAACUGAGACACGGUCCAGACUCCUACGGGGGGCAGCAGUGGGGAAUAUUGGACAAUGGGGGCAACCCUGAUCCAGCAAUGCCGCGUGGGUGAUGAAGGCCUUCGGGUUGUAAAGCCCUUUUGGCAGGGACGAUGAUGACGGUACCUGCAGAAUAAGCCCCGGCUAACUUCGUGCCAGCCGCCGCAGUAA
rnacentral:rRNA from 1 species